rnacentral:lncRNA from 1 species
CAAACAGCCUGAAACGCUGGCCACCCACACGCACAGAUUUACAGGGGAAGUGAAAUCUUAUUUGCACUGCUGCCAAGCCUGGGCUGAGAUGAAAUUAUGCCUUGAGAAGAGACCCGGCUGCUCCUCAAGGAAGCCGCUGCAUCCGAGAUGGGCUUAUUAAAAGCCACAGUGG